rnacentral:misc_RNA from 1 species
AAGUCGGGAUGUUAUUCGAGCUGAAAUGCAACGGAAAAGGGCCAUUUGUAAUGAGCAUGGUGCUUGUGUUGAUGCUGCCAUAUCGGAAGAAGUAGCAGCUCGCAAUUUGCUUAAGGCUAAACGCAAGGAAAUAGACUCUGCUCAAUCUCUGAUUAACAGAGUGAAGAGUGCCUCUUCUGUUGAGGAAAUUGAUGGCAAGAUACGUAGUAUGGAACACAUGAUACAGCAUGAAACCCUGCCCUUAAAGGAAGAAAAGAGUUACAUCCGUGAAAUCAAGCAGUUGAAGCAAAUUCGUGAACAGAUUUCUUCUAGUUUGGGUAAGCCAGAGGAUGUUCAGGAGGCUAUAGAUCAGAAAGACCAAGUUG